rnacentral:rRNA from 1 species
UGAACGCUGGCGGCGUGCUUAACACAUGCAAGUCGAACGGUAAGGUCCCCUUCGGGGGAUACACGAGUGGCGAACGGGUGAGUAACACGUGGGGAAUCUGCCCCUCUCUCUGGGACAACCUCGGGAAACUGAGGCUAAUACCGGAUACUCCGGUUGGAUCGCAUGAUCCUUCCGGGAAAGCUCCGGCGGAGAGGGAUGACCCCGCGGCCCAUUAGCUUGUUGGUGAGGUAACGGCUCACCAAGGCUUCGAUGGGUAGCCGAGCUGAGAGGCUGACCGGCCACACGGGGACUGAGACACGGCCCAGACGCCUACGGGAGGCAGCAGUGGGGAAUAUUGCACAAUGGGCGAAAGCCUGAUGCAGCAACGCCGCGUGCGGGAUGAAGGCCCUCGGGUCGUAAACCGCUUUCAGCAGGGACGAGAGUGACGGUACCUGCAGAAGAAGCCCCGGCUAAAUAC